rfam:Schistosoma rodhaini strain Burundi genome assembly, scaffold: SROB_scaffold0010020
AUCCAGCUGACGAGACCCAAAUAGGACAGAACGCAUGUCCUGGAU